CCCGCAGCGAGAUUCAAAACUAGAUGGCAAGGAAAAAAAGAGAAGAAUAUAAUGAAUCGUGGUGCAGCCAGGCAGGUCCUUCGUCCAGUCCCUCCUCUAGACAGAGCUCUAUUCCUUACCCUGAGCGCAGUCAAUUAUGAAAGCAGCCCAAGAUCAUCAAUCACAGCGAAGCGCUUAAAGUUCAGAGGAGGAGCGCAGCUGCACCCAUUGACUGCUGUGGGGGUUUCACGUAUGAAGGAGCCACUAUGCUUUAUGAAAAAUAUUCACCAAAAUUGCAACGUGACAGAUAUGAACAAAUGAAGCACAGCAGCAACAUUUAUUUGCUUUAGACAUUAAGGGGGUGGGAAGCCCCCCUAUGAGAAAAAAAAGAAAAAACUAGAGCAUAAGGAUUGCCACACGGCUCUGUGGAUAUGACAUCGUGAAGUAGAAGGAGAAGGAGCUACAGUUACACGAACAGGGCGGUAUGGCGGGCUCUCCCACUAAGAAGUAUCGUUAUAUUCUUCAUAGAAAACCCGAACCGAUUCAGACAGAAGACUCUUCGUUUAUUUCUCCCAUCGCCACAUUUAAUAGCUGUUGUGCAGAAUGACCUGCAUUCUUGUGUUUUUUUUUUUUUUUCCCUUCCCCGGACAAAUAUGGUAAGUGAGCCAUACCCUUUGUUUGGAGUGAAUCUGUUGUAGAAACAAGCAUGAGAAAAGUUAUUGCUUAAAGUGAUGUUAUGUAUGUAUCUGCUGCGUAGACGAACACGGCUGUUCGUUUUUAGCGCGUUCGUGUCCCUUUACUUUGUACCACAAGUGCGCUGCAUCUCCUCUUGAGCGCACACUGUUUACUAUGCACCUUUCAUAAAAUAAAAGUGUUCAUGUUUGCAGGUGUGUGCGAUUUUAUAUA